AGAACGAACGCUGGCGGCAGGCUUAACACAUGCAAGUCGAGCGCCCCGCAAGGGGAGCGGCAGACGGGUGAGUAACGCGUGGGAACAUACCCUCCGGUUCGGAAUAGCUCAGGGAAACUUGGAUUAAUACCGGAUACGGCCUAGCGGCGAAAGAUUCAUCGCCGGAGGAUUGGCCCGCGUUCGAUUAGCUAGUUGGUGAGGUAACGGCUCACCAAGGCGACGAUCGAUAGCUGGUCUGAGAGGAUGAUCAGCCACAUUGGGACUGAGACACGGCCCAAACUCCUACGGGAGGCAGCAGUGGGGAAUAUGGACAAUGGCGCAAGCCUGAUCCAGCCAUGCCGCGUGAGUGAUGACGGCCUUAGGGUUGUAAAGCUCUUUCGCUAGGGACGAUAAUGACGGUACCUAGACAAGGAGCCCCGGCUAACUUCGUGCCAGCAGCCGC
rnacentral:rRNA from 1 species